GAUGAACGCUGGCGGCGUGCCUAAUACAUGCAAGUCGAGCGGACAGACGAGGAGCUUGCUCCUCUGACGUUAGCGGCGGACGGGUGAGUAACACGUGGAUAACCUACCUAUAAGACUGGGAUAACUUCGGGAAACCGGAGCUAAUACCGGAUAAUAUAUUGAACCGCAUGGUUCAAUAGUGAAAGACGGUUUUGCUGUCACUUAUAGAUGGAUCCGCGCCGCAUUAGCUAGUUGGUAAGGUAACGGCUUACCAAGGCAACGAUGCGUAGCCGACCUGAGAGGGUGAUCGGCCACACUGGAACUGAGACACGGUCCCGACUCCUACGGGAGGCAGCAGUAGGGAAUCUUCCGCAAUGGGCGAAAGCCUGACGGAGCAACGCCGCGUGAGUGAUGAAGGUCUUCGGAUCGUAAAACUCUGUUAUUAGGGAAGAACAAAUGUGUAAGUAACUAUGCACGUCUUGACGGUACCUAAUCAGAAAGCCACGGCUAACUACGUG
rnacentral:rRNA from 1 species